rnacentral:rRNA from 1 species
AUUGAACGCUGGCGGAAUGCUUUACACAUGCAAGUCGAACGACAGCACGGGAGCUUGCUCCUGGUGGCGAGUGGCGAACGGGUGAGUAACAUAUCGGAACGUACCCAGUCGUGGGGGAUAACUAUCCGAAAGGAUAGCUAAUACCGCAUACGUCCUGAGGGAGAAAGCGGGGGAUCGCAAGACCUCGCGCGAUUGGAGCGGCCGAUAUCGGAUUAGCUAGUUGGUGGGGUAAAGGCUCACCAAGGCGACGAUCCGUAGCGGGUCUGAGAGGACGACCCGCCACACUGGAACUGAGACACGGUCCAGACUCCUACGGGAGGCAGCAGUGGGGAAUUUUGGACAAUGGGGGCAACCCUGAUCCAGCCAUUCCGCGUGAGUGAAGAAGGCCUUCGGGUUGUAAAGCUCUUUCAGCAGGAACGAAACGGUCGGCUUUAAUAAAAUCGGCUAAUGACGGUACCUGCAGAAGAAGCACCGGCUAACUACGUG